UAGGGAAUAUUGCACAAUGGGCGAAAGCCUGAUGCAGCAACACCGCGUGCGCGAUGAAGGCCUUCGGGUUGUAAAGCGCUUUUCGGGGAGACGAGCAAGGACGGUACCCCAGGAAGAAGGAUCGGCUAACUACGUGCCAGCAGCCGCGGUAAAACGUAGGAUCCGAGCGUUAUCCGAAUUCACUGGGCGUAAAGCGCGUGCAGGCGGCUCGCUAAGUUGGAUGUGAAAUCUCCUGGCUCAACUGGGAGAGGACGUUCAAUACUGACGGGCUAGAGGACGGUAGAGGGAGGUGGAAUUCCCGGUGUAGUGGUGAAAUGCGUAGAUAUCGGGAGGAACACCAGUGGCGAAGGCGGCCUCCUGGACCGUACCUGACGCUCAGACGCGAAAGCUAGGGGAGCAAACGGG
rnacentral:rRNA from 1 species